AAUUGAAUUUAGGGUUACAACAACAAUUUUGGAGAAGAAAGAAAAGGGAUAAGACAAAGAAAAAAACUCAUAAAAACUUAUGAGAAAGCAUCCCACAUUAUUAAAGAUGACGCAUAGGCAAAAAACAGUCAACUUCACCCUUCUUUACGCAUGUGUUUCACAGCUUUUGCUUAGAUAUGAUCGAAUGUAUUUCACAUCUUUUGCUUCUAGUUCUACUACGUUUGCACAAUCAAAAGCAUAGGCAGAAACAUAUAUGUUCCACAGUCCUUGCUCACAUAUGAAUGAAUCUAUUGGUUAUGUAUGGAUAUGUACUAUUUAUUCUCAAACGAGAUCCAGUUUACUAUGAAAAUCCAUUACAUUUACACAAUCAAAAUAAAAAAAAUAAAAAAAAACCUCUAAACCAUGCGAAACAUGAAUCUUUUCCUAGUUAUUAUUAUUACACGAUCUGGUUUUAUCGUUUGCUUUUCCCCUUUGACGUACGUAUGCUGGAAACGAAGCACCCAAACUCAAAUUCGAAAAUCAAGCAUAUGUUGCUAGAGUUUUCCAUAGCAGAGACGACUAAGAAACUUUGGUGCUUCGUGCUCGAUCAACGGUGGUGACUGGACAACUACUGAUGUUUCCUUGAACGAUGAUACAUUCUUCUUGUUUCAAUUUCUCCUACCGAUCUUUUUGGGGCACCACUAUUGAUACCCAACCGGUAAUCGAUCGAGGCAAAACCCUAAAAGAACAGGACAUUGCUCAAGAAGCUGUGAAAAGUGUUGUCCCAUUUAGAGCAAUUGCAUUUUGGUCCCUGAGUUCAACACUUCUGCGUUUUUGGUCUCAAAUAAUCGAUUUGGAAUUUUAAUUCUGAUUUUCAUGUUUUAUAACGAUUUACAUUCAUGAAUAACCCAGUUUUUUAUUUUUGUAGAAUUACCAUUUUGCCAUUGGACCAAAAUAGAAAGAAAAAAAAAAGUAUACUACAGAUCCGAAUAUGUAGUUUUCUUUUGUUUCUUGUUAUUAAACUAUUUCUAAAUUAAAAGUUUUCAAUCGACAAAUAUAAUGUUACAUUAAGCUCCAUUAAUGGAGAGGUGUAUCUUGCAGUUUGGUUCACAACUAGCAUGUUUAGAAGCUGAAGUAAAGGAGCAUGUUACAGAUGAAAGAGAGGAGCAUGAAGAGGAAUAUUUUACUGCUUAGUAUAUAACCUGAUAUAACAAUCAUUUUGUAAUGGUAUUUUAAGGCAAUGCACUAUACUA